rnacentral:rRNA from 1 species
AUUGAACGCUGGCGGCAGGCCUAACACAUGCAAGUCGAACGGUAACAGGAAGCAGCUUGCUGCUUUGCUGACGAGUGGCGGACGGGUGAGUAAUGUCUGGGAAACUGCCUGAUGGAGGGGGAUAGCUACUGGAAACGGUAGCUAAUACCGCAUAACGUCGCAAGACCAAAGAGGGGGACCUUCGGGCCUCUUGCCAUCGGAUGUGCCCAGAUGGGAUUAGCUAGUAGGUGGGGUAACGGCUCACCUAGACGACGAUCCCUAGCUGGUCUGAGAGGAUGACCAGACACACUGGAACUGAGACACGGUCCAGACUCCUACGGGAGGCAGCAGUGGGGAAUAUUGCACAAUGGGCGCAAGCCUGAU